rnacentral:rRNA from 1 species
CCUACGGGUGGCAGCAGUGAGGAAUAUUGGUCAAUGGGCGAGAGCCUGAACCAGCCAAGUCGCGUGAGGGAAGACGGUCCUAUGGAUUGUAAACCUCUUUUGCCGGGGAGCAAAAAGCGGUACGUGUACCGCAUUGAGCGUACCCGGAGAAAAAGCAUCGGCUAACUCCGUGCCAGCAGCCGCGGUAAUACAGAGGUCUCAAGCGUUGUGCGGAAUCACUGGGCGUAAAGCGUGCGUAGGCUGUUUCGUAAGUCGGUUGUGAAAGGCGCGGGCUCAACCCGGGGAUGGCAGUUGAUACUGGGAGACUAGAGUAAAGGAGGGGUAACCGGAAUUCGUGGUGUAGCAGUGAAAUGCGUAGAUAUCGAGAGGAACACUGGUGGCGAAGGCGGGUUCCUGGACAUUAACGGACGCUGAGGCACGAAGGUGAGGGGAGCGAAAGGGAUUAGAUACCCGUGUAGUC